GACGAACGCUGGCGGCAUGCCUAAUACAUGCAAGUCGAGCGAACAGAUGAAGUGCUUGCACUUCUGACGUUAGCGGCGAACGGGUGAGUAACACGUAAGGAAUCCACCUAUGAGCGGGGGAUAACAUUCGGAAACGGGUGCUAAUACCGCAUAAUAUCUUCUUCCGCAUGGAAGAAGAUUGAAAGACGGCUCUGCUGUCACUUAUAGAUGACCUUGCGGUGGAUUAGCUGGUUGGUGGGGUAACGGCCUACCAAGACGAUGAUGCAUAGCCGACCUGAGAGGGUGAUCGGCCACAUUGGGACUGAGACACGGCCCAAACUCCUACGGGAGGCAGCAGUAGGGAAUCUUCCGCAAUGGGCGAAAGCCUGACGGAGCAAUGCCGCGUGAGUGAAGAAGGCCUUCGGGUCGUAAAACUCUGUUAUAAGAGAAGAACAAAUUGUAGAGUAACUGCUACAGUCUUGACGGUAUCUUAUCAGAAAGCCACGGCUAACUACGUGCCAGCAGCCGCCGUAA
rnacentral:rRNA from 1 species